rnacentral:rRNA from 1 species
UACGGAGGGUGCGAGCGUUGUCCGGAAUCAUUGGGCGUAAAGGGCGCGUAGGUGGCGGGACAAGCGUGCGGUGAAAGCCUGGGGCUCAACCCCGGGUCGGCCGUGCGAACUGUUUUGCUUGAGCACUGUAGAGGCAGGCGGAAUUCCAGGUGUAGCGGUGAAAUGCGUAGAUAUCUGGAGGAACACCGGUGGCGAAGGCGGCAUCCUGGACCGAGAUUGACGCUGAGGCGCGAAAGCCAGGGGAGCAAAGCGGG